rnacentral:misc_RNA from 1 species
CAAAGUGAACUUCAGACUGAGUAUACCUGACGGUGCGAGCAAUGCCUGCCCUGUCCUAGGUACUACGAAGGAGCAGUACCAUGGGCCAUAUCCAUCUGAGAGCCGGCAGGCAGAGGCGACCGGCCGUAGCCGAGCUGCUGCUGCUGUCGCUUGUCAGUUGUGCGAACGCAUUCUGUCCCAUGCGGUGCGUCUGCAAUGACGACAAGCUUACGGUGCAGUGCGCGGGUGCAGCACUCGACGUCAUCCCCAUCACGCUGAACCCCGAGAUUCGCGAGCUGCACCUGACGCGCAACAAUAUCCGCAACAUCAUGUCCGCCUUCAGUGUGUACCAGCAAAUCAAGUUCCUCGACGUGUCCUACAACCAGCUGCGGACUCUGGGAGCGGACAAUUUCCCGCUGCCCGAACUGAAAGUGCUUGUGCUAGACAGCAACUUGGUGGCCGAGUUGGAGGCCAACACCUUCCGAGGUCUUCGAACCCUGCUCGAGCUGCAACUCAGACGCAACGCGCUAACCUACGUGCCGUCCAGAGCGUUUCACGACAUGCGAAGCCUGGAGCGACUCGACAUAUCGCACAAUCAGAUCGCCAAGAUAGACUCGGAUGCCUUCGUCGGCCUGCACAGGCUCAAGUCGCUCAUACUCAGAGACAACAAGCUCAGUCACGUGCCCACACCUGCUUUCCACCAUAUACCCCACCUGCUGGCGCUCGAUCUCGGCCUGAACAGCAUCCCCACCGUCGUUGACAACGCCUUCAGCCAUCUGGUCAGGCUGCGAGAGCUCAACAUGGAUCGCUGUUCAACGGCCAUCUUGGAGCCAGGUGCUUUCUCCAGCCUCGUUUCACUCGCCACUCUGAGACUCCAAGACAAUGCCUUCGUUUCGUUUCCAACGGACGCGCUUUCCGACUUGCAUAGACUCGAAGAAUUGCACUUUGGCCGUAACAGCGUCAGGGAUCUUGCGGAGGACAACUUCAGAGCACUAGAAAACCUGAGGCGUCUAUACAUCGUGCGCUCCGAGCAUCUGGACAGCAUCGAUGAGCGCACUUUCAGACAGUGCUUGCAACUGGAGCAGGUCGUACUCGAAGAGAACCGCAGACUGCGCUACUUGUCUCCGGCAACGUUCACAAACCUGCGCCAGCUCACCAGAGUUAGCCUGAGGGCCAACGGCUUUGAGUCCUUUCAUCCGGACCUACUUCCCUGGAACCAGCUGUCCACAUUCGAUCUCCGAGACAACCCAAUAGUAUGCAACUGUAGCGUCAUAUGGCUGUGGGACCUACUGCGCUCUCUCGACCACACGGGCAACUGGACCAAUGUACGCUGCCACAGCCCGACACACUUGAGCGGCGAACUGCUGCGCACUUUGUCGCACUACGACCUCGACUGCGAUGGUCGCACGAGGCGAAAUAUCCUCAUCGUGGGGCUCUCGACCACCGCCAUCUUCGCUAUUAUCGUGCUAGCGCUAGUGCUCUGGUACCGGCGAAAAGUUUCCAGAGUCCUCAAGAAGCAGCUAGACACGGCUAGUCUUCACGACCCGCACAUGAGCCAGUUCCACAAGUCCGAGAGCUCCUUGACUUUGCCGCCUGCAGCGCAUGUCACGUACAACGGAAAGUUUAAGCCGACGCCUCUGGCGUACAUCUAGGCCGAUAAUGCUCGGCAGCUAUGGCGCGUGCAAGCAGACGCAGCGGCCGCAGCAACACGUCCAUAUCCUCGUCUGCGGAUGCUCUGCGAAGUCACGACGAUCGUCUUUCUUUAGCAGCGACAGAAGGAGCAGCAACAGCUGACGUGACGCGCUCAAGAACGCUUACUUUUUUGCAUUCGUGACUAGCACGGUUCGUAGGAUUUUUUUCUAAAUGUUGACGGACGAUGAUCACAGAUGCAGCUUAGAGUAAAAACAUGAAAGAAACAGAGAUAAGAUAGGAAGAUGCUAAUAAGCAACGGAAUGCAGUACACAACAUAUCUCUUCAGGAGCAGCGCUUUAGUCAUGCUUUCUGACAUUUUUCCUCUGCCGAAAACGCCAGUGUGUGCGGUGCCAACGCCCAUCCCCGAAAGCGGUGUUUUAUGCAAGCGCGACGACGCGCGCAACGCUUUUGUGAAAGACGUGUCCCGCGCACUCUUCUUUCUUUUCGCACUUUGCUGUAUUUGGCAGCGUUGCGGCUUCGAUGAGUGAAUGGCAACGAAAAAAAAAGUGAAUUAGAGGUGAAGUGACUCUGACUCUUGGUGAACGUCGCAGCCGCUUCCCUCGCCUCGACAUAUCCAGAAGUUUUUUUCUCAGCAGCAACUCUGUGUUUGUAUAUUCGUGCAGCAUAAAUGCAAGCUUACGUACAAGGGAAGCUGCGGGGACACAAGGCGGAUGCAAGAGAGAAGACCCGGAAACCGAUCAACACGUUUUUGUAUCGUAUCCAGAAUCCCAAGUUAUGCAGACGCAGGCAAGAUCAUCUUGACAAGGCCUUCCCUACAAGUCAACCAUUAUGCAAAACCAAGAAAAGAACUUUAUAUUUUUAAUGGUGCACAAAGAAUAAAUACCUUGUGCGCGUGUGUAUUAUCAUUUAAAGUAAGUAGGAAGUGAUAUUUUGGCCUUUUUGUUGUAGAUAGUUUUUUUUUUCAUUUUAUUCUACUUUGCCGUGUGAAGGUCUUUGAUAAGUUUUCGUUCUUUGCAGAAAAUAAAUAAACAUGAUUGAUUUCCAGGAAUGUUGC